UCACAGCAAUUCAAAGUGAAAGGCCGCAUGUCAUGAACUAUCAGCUGGUAUGCUUGUUGGUGGUGGGUUAUUGUUGUUGCUGUUGUUGGUAAGCAGGCAUCGUAAAACAAUAAACACAAAACAAAAAGAACAACAACAACGAAACUGAAUGAGUUCGGAAUGUCAGACAGGGUGUGUGAAUUAAAUAUCAGAAAAUGUUGAUGUUUUUUGGCAAAGCAAACAAACAAAUCAAAAUUAUCUGCAAAUGUUUUUUAAAUUGAGCUAAAGCAAAUGCCAUAAACCAGUUGAAGAUUUAGGAUUACGCUCACCUUUUGCAAUGAAUGGAUGCCAAAUUGGGUGCGUUCGAGUAUUAUUGUACUUUUAAAUUAGAAAACCCAUAGCGAAAGAUAAUUUCAAUUAGAUAAUAAAAAUUACGAAACCAAGGGACUCUAGAGGAAUGGAAA